rnacentral:rRNA from 1 species
AAAAGAACUUUGAAGAGAGAGUUCAAAAGGGCGUGAAACCGCUUAGAAUAAAACGGACGGAGCCGUCCGGAGCCUUCGGGAAUCAGUCGAAACUUGAACGAAAAUUUGGUCGCUACUAGAACGCAAGUCUAGUCGAUCGGAUCGGUAGUUUAGUUCUGACGCAUUUCUCGUCGGUAUGCACUGCGACCGAUACGAAAGGUCGACGAAGUGAAUUGAUUGAGGUCGAAUGGUCGCAAGGCUAGUCGUUUCCAGUCUUUUUACAUUGAGUCGUCGAACCGCAGUAUGUAUCGAGCGUCCCUUUAAUGAAUAUGAAUAUCGGCUGUAAGAGCUCGCUCGAGCGAUGGAUAGUCGGUUCUAGUCGGUCGGUUACUUGCUCGCAGGUACCGAUGACUCGGUGAUCGAUUUAGAAGUCGUCGGCGACGUAUACGAUAUUCGGGCGUCAGCAGUGUCAGUGUCGGCCACCCGUCCGACCCGUCUUGAAACACGGACCAAGGAGUCUAACAUAUGCGCGAGCCAAUGAGUGUUAAAAACUCACGGGCGCAAUAAAAGUGAACGAAGUCUUAUCGGCUUCUAAGAUACGAUCCUUUAGUUAAUUUCGAUUGACUUUAGGCGCAGUAUCGUCCCGUCCCGAUCGCAUAUCGAUAGGGCGGAGACAGAGUGCAUACGUUGGGACCCGAAAGAUGGUGAACUAUGCCUGAGCAGAGCGAAGCCAGAGGAAACUCUGGUGGAGGUUCGUAGCGGUUCUGACGUGCAAAUCGAUCGUCAGAC